ACAGGCGCCUGUGCUCUUUUUCCCCGGGGAUCUUUCUUGUUUCCAACUCCUCUAGCUGAACUCAAUCUGCUCUCUUGGUGCACUGCCUUCCAUUCCUGUCUGUUUAAUCAGAAUUAAUUCUCUGAGGGAGUGACUCCAAGCCUCUUGUCCUUGGACAUUCUACAGGCCUCAUGUUCAAGGUGUCCAGAAUGUACCUUGUUACUCUCCCUACCACCAGCCUUCCUGCUGUAAAUGACCAAAAUAAACCUCUGAGCUUGCCCUAUGUCUGGUUUGUCAGUCUGGGACAAGCCCUCCUUCCAUCCUUUGUUUCCAAAUCCUCUUCCCACUUUGCUCUUUUCUCUCCCAGUCACACACACUUAAAGCUUAGGCUAAUCCUUACCCCAAAUAUCUUUUCUCUGUCUGAGUGUAACCUCACCUUCCUGUCCUUUGUCCCCACUAUUUCCAUACUUGUCCCUGUUUGUUAAUCCUGUUCCCACAUCUUGCACACCACUGACUUGGUUGACUUUGGAAAGUUAGGAUGGAAACCAUAGUGGAAUUGGUCAACGCAAGUGUGGGUGUCGGGCUUAUUUUGAUGGUGGAAUAGUGCAGCAAUACUAUGUUGUCCUAUGGUUUGUUGACUCCUUCCCCAGUGAUGGACAUGUGCUUUGUUUCCAGUUUGCGGCUAUUGUGGGUGAAUAUUUGUGUAUGUGUCUCCAUGUGGACACAUUUUCCUUCCUCUUGAGUAGAUGCCAAGGAUUAGGACUAAUGGGUCACAAGGAGCACAGACAUCCUACGAGUGGAUAAGCCACUGAAGAAGCAUCUCUCAGUUUCUCAGCAACCAUCAACAGCAAAAGCUCCACGUGGAGAGCCUGGUAUCGGGAGCCUGUCCCAAGGACUGGAGUCUUGAGCUGCAUGCUGAGGGUUGGAGAGGAAGCCCUGGCCCUGAGAUCUCCUGCACACCAGGUGUGUGAGACUCUACUGUGCUGGACACCUCCCACACAUAACUGUAAACCAGAAACAUCCUCACAGACAUGCAGAGAAGUUUGUCU
rnacentral:lncRNA from 1 species